rnacentral:lncRNA from 1 species
AGGCAUUAUAACGGGUUUCAUGAUGGUCAUAGGUUUGCUAGAUUUGGGUUUGGAGGUGGGCUAGUUUGUCUAAAAUGGUUUGCAGGGUUUCCUCUAAAUCUUUGAUUGAUUUGGGAGCCAUGGAGGUAGGCUCAAUGAAAGCACCAAAUUGAUAUGGUGAUGGAGCAGGGAAGGGGAAGAACACAGAGAAAACUAGAAAAAUAAGUGUUGGGAUAGAG